rnacentral:lncRNA from 1 species
UACUUAUUUAUUUAUUUGUUUACUUUGAGAGGGAGAGAGAAUGAGUGCAUCAGCUGGGGAGAGGCAGAGAGUGAGAGGGAGAGAGAAUCCCAAGCAGGCUCUGCACUGUCAGCACGGAGCCCAGUGUGGGGAACAUGAGAUCAUGACCUGAGCUGAAAUCAAGAGUAGGAUGCUUAACCUACUGAGCCACUCGGACACCCCCCCUCCCAAAUCUAUUUUCAUACCUCACCAAGUUUCCUGCUAAAGAUUUGAUCACCAUAUAAUGCAUAAGAGGUUUCAAAAACUAGUUUAAUAUCUUUUUGGGGUUUUUUGUUGUUGCUUUGACAAAUUAUGUGAUGAGGUAGACUUGUGUCAGAGUGCAGCAAUGAAAAUCAGACCCAGAACAUAGCAGGUUGAGAGUCACAGGAAAAGAUAAAGAAGGUAAAGUGAUUCUUUACCUUUUUUUUUUUUUUUUUUUUUUUACACAAAUAUCUCAGGUUAACUGAAAGUCUGGGGCUGGGAACAAAGACAAAGUCAGCUGCUCUUCCCUGGUAAAUGCCUGCAAACCUAGCCCUGAGGGAGCUUUUGAUGCCCCGGUUUGCCUUUCAGCAGGUUUGUAAAUUCAGCAGAUACAUGAAAUAAAAUUUAGCAGUUGGAAGUUAGUGCGUUGCUUUAUAUUUUGAUAGAUAAAUUGCUUAAGGAUUUAAGAUCCAUCCACAGUGGGGAUGAUACAUACUGUACUAGAUUGAAGGGAUUUAUUUGGUCUUCUUUUUCCAGAAAACUGAGAUUACUUCACAUCAAAACAGAGAAAGUGUAAAUAGCAAAAGUCUUUAUUUGAAACUUCAUUUGGAAAUUAAGACUCUUAUAUUUCCAAAAUAUAUUAUCAUUAUAAGGGAAAUACAUUUGAUUUUAAUCCAACAGUUGUGCAACUCUCAAGGGAACACGCAGUGUACUAUUGAGAUGGAAUCCUCUCCGCGCACUCCAGGUCAUGACGGUUCCAGCUUCUUUGUUCGUAUUAUCGGAUAAAGCGAUUGAGUACCCCACUCUGCCUUUGGAUUAUGCCAUUGAAAAGCCAACUGUUAAAUGGCAACAAAACAGUGAGGAGGCCCUUUAAAAAAACAAAAAAAGUUCUGUUAAGCUUUAUACCUGAAGUGUUUUAUUCCCACUCAGUUUUAUAGCAUAUGAAUAUUUUUUAGCUUCUGUAUGCUUAUUAUCCCUUUAUUAUUUUGUUUUUUGUUAUAAUUUUCAGAUUUUCCUUUAGGAGAAGUUAAUUGUGUGUAUUAUGUGUGUGUCGUGUGUGUAUGUGUGGCUUUCUUAUAAUAACGCGUGUCUGUGGUUUUCAUUGUGUCGGUUUUAAUCAGCUCCAAAGGGCCUUGGUGUAACUUCUCCUGGGUGCCUUCUCAUUGAUUUAAAUCUCAUUAAUGAGUAUUGCUAAUACAGUGACUGCCUACGGAAAUCCCAGAAUGUUACGAACCUUUGACAAGGAAGGUCCUUCCCAUCUUAAGAGAAGAAUCAUGAUCUGCCAGUCCUAGAAAGGAAUCACGUUUGAUAAUGUAGCACGCUGGUGGUAACUCCUGAGUCUUUGCAUACUACUGCUCAAAUUUAGCAAAGAAAGAGUUCUGGGUUAUAUUUAUAAGUCACUAAAUUAUGAGACAGGAUUGAAUUAUUCAAUUAUGAAGAUAAGAUUGUAUUGUUCAAAAUUUUAAAAAGCUAGUGUUUCUUAGCAAUCUUAAACCUUGCGCCUUGCAUAAACCAUUUGUAAGAAUAAUUUAAGGCUCUUAAUUCGUUGAAACAACAGAUGCUGUAAAUGAUUUUUUUCAACCAUUUUACUUUGUCUAUAAUAAACAAGAUAUACUUUUGUUAGAAUACUUCA